CCUACGGGUGGCAGCAGUGAGGAAUAUUGGUCAAUGGGCGAGAGCCUGAACCAGCCAAGUCGCGUGAGGGAAGACGGUCCUAUGGAUUGUAAACCUCUUUUGCCGGGGAGCAAAAAGCGGUACGUGUACCGCAUCGAGAGUACCCGGAGAAAAAGCAUCGGCAAACCCCGUUCCAGCAGCCGCGGUAAUACGGGGGAUGCGAGCGUUAUCCGGAUUUAUUGGGUUUAAAGGGUGCGCGGGCGGCGAGUUAAGUCAGCGGUAAAAUUUCGGGACUCAACCUCGACGAGCCGUUGAAACUGGCUUGCUAGAGUGGGCGAGAGGUAUGCGGAAUGCGUGGUGUAGCGGUGAAAUGCGUAGAGAUCACGCAGAACUCCGAUUGCGAAGGCAGCAUACCGGCGACCAACUGACGCUCAGGCACGAAAGCGUGGGUAUCGAACAGGAUUAGAUACCCGAGUAGUC
rnacentral:rRNA from 1 species